rnacentral:rRNA from 1 species
CGGAUUGAAGGCUGAAAUUCGCCUUCAUGAAGCUGGAAUUGCUAGUAAUGGCAGGUCAGCAUACUGCCGUGAAUACGUUCCCGGGCCUUGUACACACCGCCCGUCACACCAUGAGAGUUGGAACUACCCGAAGCCUGUGAGCUAACUUAAAGAGGCAGCAGUCGAAGGUAGAGCCAAUGAUUGGGGUGAAGUCGUAACAAGGUACC